AUAAUAACCAAGAAAAGAUAAGCUAAUUAUAAGCUUAUGGGCUCAUACCCCGUCUAUGAAGAUAC
rnacentral:tRNA from 1 species